UACAGAGGGUGCAAGCGUUGCUCGGAUUUACUGGGCGUAAAGCGUACGCAGACGGCCGCGCAGGUCGGGUGUGAAAGCCCUGAGCUCAACUCAGGAAUUGCAUUCGAAACCAUGUGGCUCGAGUGUGGGAGAGGGUAGUGGAAUUCCUGGUGUAGAGGUGAAAUUCGUAGAUAUCAGGAGGAACACCGGCGGCGAAGGCGGCUACCUGGUCCACAACUGACGUUCAGGUACGAAAGCGUGGGGAGCAAACAGG
rnacentral:rRNA from 1 species